AGGGCGGUUAUCUCUUCCCA
rnacentral:miRNA from 1 species